rnacentral:miRNA from 3 species
UGUUUUUUUUUUUCUUUUUC